GACGAACGCUGGCGGCGUGCUUAACACAUGCAAGUCGAACGGUGACGCACCUUCGGGUGCUGAUCAGUGGCGAACGGGUGAGUAACACGUGGGCAACCUGCUCUCCACUUCGGGAUAACCUCGGGAAAUCGUGGCUAAUACCGGACAUGGGCACUCAUCGCAUGGUGGGUGCUGGAAAGAUUUAUCGGUGGGGGAUGGACUCGCGGCCUAUCAGUUUGUUGGUGAGGUGAUGGCUCACCAAGACGAUGACGGGUAGCCGGCCUGAGAGGGCGACCGGCCACACUGGGACUGAGACACGGCCCAGACUCCUACGGGAAGCAGCAGUGGGGAAUAUUGCACAAUGGGCGAAAGCCUGAUGCAGCGACGCCGCGUGGGGGAUGACGGCCUUCGGGUUGUAAACCCCUUUCAGUAGGGAAGAAGCGGGAGUGACGGUACCUGCAGAAGAAGCGCCGGCUAACUACGUGCCAGCAGCCGCCGUAAAAC
rnacentral:rRNA from 1 species